rnacentral:rRNA from 1 species
AGAGUUUGAUCAUGGCUCAGAUUGAACGCUGGCGGCAGGCCUAACACAUGCAAGUCGAACGGUAACAGGAAUCAGCUUGCUGAUUCGCUGACGAGUGGCGGACGGGUGAGUAAUGUCUGGGAAACUGCCUGAUGGAGGGGGAUAACUACUGGAAACGGUAGCUAAUACCGCAUAACGUCGCAAGACCAAAGAGGGGGACCUUCGGGCCUCUUGCCAUCGGAUGUGCCCAGAUGGGAUUAGCUUGUUGGUGGGGUAACGGCUCACCAAGGCGACGAUCCCUAGCUGGUCUGAGAGGAUGACCAGCCACACUGGAACUGAGACACGGUCCAGACUCCUACGGGAGGCAGCAGUGGGGAAUAUUGCACAAUGGGCGCAAGCCUGAUGCAGCCAUGCCGCGUGUAUGAAGAAGGCCUUCGGGUUGUAAAGUACUUUCAGCGGGGAGGAAGGGAGUAAAGUUAAUACCUUUACUCAUUGACGUUACCCGCAGAAGAAGCACCGGCUAACUCCGUGCCAGCAGCCGCGGUAAUACGGAGGGUGCAAGCGUUAAUCGGAAUUACUGGGCGUAAAGCGCACGCAGGCGGUUUGUUAAGUCAGAUGUGAAAUCCCCGGGCUCAACCUGGGAACUGCAUCUGAUACUGGCAAGCUUGAGUCUCGUAGAGGGGGGUAGAAUUCCAGGUGUAGCGGUGAAAUGCGUAGAGAUCUGGAGGAAUACCGGUGGCGAAGGCGGCCCCCUGGACGAAGACUGACGCUCAGGUGCGAAAGCGUGGGGAGCAAACAGGAUUAGAUACCCUGGUAGUCCACGCCGUAAACGAUGUCGACUUGGAGGUUGUGCCCUUGAGGCGUGGCUUCCGGAGCUAACGCGUUAAGUCGACCGCCUGGGGAGUACGGCCGCAAGGUUAAAACUCAAAUGAAUUGACGGGGGCCCGCACAAGCGGUGGAGCAUGUGGUUUAAUUCGAUGCAACGCGAAGAACCUUACCUGGUCUUGACAUCCACAGAACUUUCCAGAGAUGGAUUGGUGCCUUCGGGAACUGUGAGACAGGUGCUGCAUGGCUGUCGUCAGCUCGUGUUGUGAAAUGUUGGGUUAAGUCCCGCAACGAGCGCAACCCUUAUCCUUUGUUGCCAGCGGUCCGGCCGGGAACUCAAAGGAGACUGCCAGUGAUAAACUGGAGGAAGGUGGGGAUGACGUCAAGUCAUCAUGGCCCUUACGACCAGGGCUACACACGUGCUACAAUGGCGCAUACAAAGAGAAGCGACCUCGCGAGAGCAAGCGGAUCUCAUAAAGUGCGUCGUAGUCCGGAUUGGAGUCUGCAACUCGACUCCAUGAAGUCGGAAUCGCUAGUAAUCGUGGAUCAGAAUGCCACGGUGAAUACGUUCCCGGGCCUUGUACACACCGCCCGUCACACCAUGGGAGUGGGUUGCAAAAGAAGUAGGUAGCUUAACCUUCGGGAGGGCGCUUACCACUUUGUGAUUCAUGACUGGGGUGAAGUCGUAACAAGGUAACCGUAGGGGAACCUGCGGUUG